rnacentral:rRNA from 1 species
GACGAACGCUGGCGGCGUGCUUAACACAUGCAAGUCGAACGGAAAGGCCCUGCUUUUGUGGGGUGCUCGAGUGGCGAACGGGUGAGUAACACGUGAGUAACCUGCCCUUGACUUUGGGAUAACUUCAGGAAACUGGGGCUAAUACCGGAUAGGAGCUCCUGCUGCAUGGUGGGGGUUGGAAAGUUUCGGCGGUUGGGGAUGGACUCGCGGCUUAUCAGCUUGUUGGUGGGGUAGUGGCUUACCAAGGCUUUGACGGGUAGCCGGCCUGAGAGGGUGGCCGGCCACAUUGGGACUGAGAUACGGCACAGACUCCUACGGGAGGCAGCAGUGGGGAAGAUUGCACAAUGGGCGGAAGCCUGAUGCAGCAACGCCGCGUGCGGGAUGACGGCCUUCGGGUUGUAAACCGCUUUCGCCUGUGACGAAGCGUGAGUGACGGUAAUGGGUAAAGAAGCACCGGCUAACUACGUG